GCCCGUCUAGCUCAGUCGGUAGAACGCAAGGCUCUUAGCCUUGUGAGCCUUGUGGUCGUGGGUUCGAGCCCCACGGUGGGCU
rnacentral:tRNA from 1 species